AACAGCAGGAUAUUUCUUCAUCAUUUAACUUUUUUUUUUUGUUUUAAAUUUCAUAAUGACAAAGUGAGCCUGUAUGACAGCUCUAGAAACUGAAGGCAGGAUUCUUCUUUUGCACCGCAGCCUUUUAGGUUGCUGUGGGAGUGCUGCUAAAAUAGCUGGAAGGGCUAUUACGCCAACGCAUCUCUUGAGCCUCUUCUUUCUUAUGGCAGGGUGGCGGAUACAAAUUUAGCAUUCCUGCUCAUGUGACCAUCCCACACUGUGCAUAACCCCUACAAAGAGCCAGGCCAUGUGGGCAGCUGGGCAUCCUGCAAAGUAGGGCUUCAGGAAGUAGUGAGGCAGAGCCAUGCAGCAGUGCUGUGGUACCCAUUUGGACCUGGAUCCACCUGGUCAGGCUGCAUCUACCCUGUCCCAGGGCAGGACAGAGGGUCUGUGUCACCUGCUGUGAAAGGAGAGGGCUCCAGCUAUUCAUGCACAAGAGCCCCAUGCUGCCUGAUGGUGUUGAUGUGCCUCGGUGCCACGUGGAUGGGCACAAGCUGUUGGUAAAAACAGAGGGCUGGGUUGCCAGCUCUCUUCUCACCAGUCCUCUGGGCUCUUGGGGUGGAAUUAGGGGCACUCACCUUAGUGGAGGAGGCAAGUUUAACCUUUAUCUCCUGCUCAAAUUAUCCCCUGGAGGAGGGGUUUUGUUUGCCCCUCUCUGAUGGUCACGCAGAUGCCUGCUGAGACCACAGCACUGGAGUGCUGCUGAGCUAGCAGAGUUUGGCUCUUACAGCUCGGGAGUGAAAGGUGUUUGUUGCCAGCAGAGCAAUACCCAUCUGAAGCACCAAGUAUGAGAUCUGUAAGUAAAAAGCAAAUCCAGCUGGGUCAGGGAAAUUAAAACAACUCAGGCUCUCCCUUCUGCUCCAAGUUUUAUCUGCAUGAAGUUAAGAGGAGCAUCAGCGUCUUGUAAAGAAACAUGUUCCUACCUCCAUCCCUCACCCCGGGACCCUUUAAAAAUCCCCUGCACAGGCAGUGCCUUUGCUUUUACUAUUUCCUGACCUUUGCUAUAGUCUGACAAAGCUUUGGAGAAUAAACCAUCUCAAACUCAUACAACUCAUGUAUUACAUCUCUGUUCUCAUUAAGACCAAACCUCUUAUCAGGUCACACUUCACCAUAACUUCUCCCUCCAGAGUUUAACACAAUCUCUCUUAUUAACUUUAUCAUCCAUUACCACCAAAAAUAACUUAUAUCUUCUGUUACAUUAUGGCAUUCAUAAAAUACUGCACAGCUUCAGGAAGGCACCUUCCUUGGGAUUUGAUGCUUGUAUUCAUGCAAUGUUCUCAUCAUCUUCCUUUUUGUUGCACCUGCAGGACAUGAUUUCUCUCCUCUACUGGUGUGAGGCCAGUCAGGAUGUUUUCCCCAGAGCCAUCUGGACGGAGCAAAGGUCACCUCAGUUGAGAACUUCUAUGAUUGUCAGAACUGGAACCACCUUCUGGGCUUCUCACUAGCACAAGUUCUGAUAAAACCCCUUUACCAUCUUUUUCAGCUGGGUCUGAGCAAGAAAGAAACUUACACUGAUAAACAUCUGUCUUCAGCAUGUGCAGUGGGAGGGAAAGAGCCGGCAGGUUCCUCUAGACCCAGACUUUUGCAAUUGAACUUAGUGAAAUACCUAGAAAAAAAAUAUGAGGAUAGAGGGAAUCCAUCCUGCAAAGCUCAAACCUUCCUAAUACCAAUUUGCUGCAGCCAUAAACACUCUCAGUGGAGAAAAUGGAAAUACAGGGAAACAGCUGCCCCAGCAAAAAACAGGAAAGGCAGCAGCCUUGAACUGACCGUGAACACAUCAGUAUGCUUGGAUUUUGGAUUUCACAAGGGCCCUUCUCACAGGAAGGCUCAUGUAACCAUGGCAAUGGAGAUCUCUGGAUGCAUUUCAUCCUUGUCACCACUAACAAACAAGCAAGUUAGAUCAGAUGCAGAUAAGAAAAGUCUUCCCACUCCUCUUUUUACUAAACAGUUCAGAAUUUCUAGGAAUCAUAAGGAAUAAAAGACAACUUCAGAAGAAAAACAAAGUCCCAAGAAUCAUCACAACUCAGAUUUUUAUUCAACAGUGAAGUUGAAGGGAAUGGUGUUUUUUUCCCUUCAGGGCAAAUGUUCCAAAUGAAAAUUAAGUAAAAAUAUUGUUCCCCAAAAGUACUCACAAUGAAAUUAGUUUUCAUUAAAUAUAUUUGUUUGGCAAAAUAAAAUAAAAAAAUUAGAACCCGUACAAAAAAAAUCCCUUGCAAAUUUCUAACACUGUAGCAAUGACAACGAUGUAAACCUGGAUGUUUGGCAGUUGUAAUUAAUUUUUGAAAAUUACUGUUGAACUUUGGACCAAGGAAAUAAAAUCACUUCAAAUAGCAACAAGCCAAUUUCAGAGGCAACUGAGGCUUAGGGAACGCUACAGGAAUGGGACACACUAGUGGCUUCAUACACGGUUUGUGUGAGUGAUCUGCUAGUGAGGGGCUAUUGUAAGAGCUGGGAGGAAAAGAAGUUAAAAGCUGUUGCAGCAUUGCAGCGUAUGGUACAGCAAAAACCUGCAGACUUUCCACUCUGGGAGCUGAUCAGCUGGGUGAAGGCUGGAGGCAAGAGCUGAGAUGACAGUGGAGAGAAUAAUGACAGUGACGGAUGGUGCAAGAACCGGGAAGCAGUUAACGAAUUUCAUCAUCACAUUGGAUUCAGUGGUGAGCAGACUCUUGUGAGUGUCUGGGGAAAUCUUCUGCUUACAGUAGCUGCUUUUGCUCCCUACCUCCCUCCUCCUUCCAGUUAAAGCCUCUGC
ensembl:lncRNA